rnacentral:ncRNA from 1 species
AUAUUUAGCGCCUGGACAAUUAUUUGUUGACGAGGUUAGGGCUUAUCGAAAGACUCGGCGGAUGGCUCUAUGGUAUGCGUUACUACCAUUACAUAUUAGCAAAAAAUUAUAGUGAUAUAAUAUAACAAAUCUAAU